rnacentral:rRNA from 1 species
UACGUAGGGUGCAAGCGUUGUCCGGAAUUAUUGGGCUAAAGAGCUCGUAGGCGGUCUGUCGCGUCUGCUGUGAAAAUCAGGGCUCAACCCUGGACCUGCAGUGGGUACGGGCAGACUAGAGUGCGGUAGGGGGAGAUCGGAAUUCCUGGUGUAGCGGUGAAAUGCGCAGAUAUCAGGAGGAACACCGGUGGCGAAGGCGGGGUCUCUGGGGCCGAUAUUGACUGAGGAGCGAAAAGCGUGGGGAGCGAACAGG